rnacentral:tRNA from 1 species
GCCUUCGUAGCUCAGUGGUAGAGCACUUGCUUGGUAAGUAAGGGGUCGGAAGUUCAAUUCUUCUCGGAGGCACCA